GAGAAAGGGAGUCUGAACUAGGCAAAAACUCUCCAUGGAGGAAGGCCUGGGAGAGCCCGUGAGCAGGGGAAAGACUGUACAGUUCCAUAGGUAGUGGGGAAGAAUAAACACAGACCUUUAUGUGCUCUUUGAGUCUCAGUGCGCCGCACCGCUGGCGCAAUGCUCUGGGCAGCCGAAAAGCGCAGUUGCAGAGCCGUGACCUGAUGCAGCGCUCUGGGCGAUGUGGCUUUAGCGCCGCCAGCCACCGGUGCUCCAGGCAGUGCGCUCACAAGGUCUCAAGCUUCAACCUUAAUAUGAAGUUUUCAAGAACAGCACCUUUAAAACACAGUUUAAGAUUUUUGUUAAUAGUUAGCAAAAAAAAUCAAAAACUACUUUCCUGUUGUUCUUGACUAUUGUUCUGUCCUCUAGCCUUUGUUACAACACAAAUGUGGUGUUCUCCCUGAUCUCUAUUCAUCCAUUGUUAACCCCCACAGAAAAAGGAUUCACUGAUGUUGCCAUAGAACUGCAAGAUUUUGUUUAUAUAUAAACACUAUUGUCUUUAUUUGUCUACAUUUUGAAGUCCUUAGGCAAAACUCACAAUGAGACUUGCUGAAUAAGACCUUAAAAAGAAAAUAGGAAAAUUCUAAUAUCAGUA